UCAGUGCGUGAUCACGUGACAUUAUUAUUUGUAAACAAACGGGCUCCCCAUGUAACACGUGUCGGAACUAUCCAUACAAGGUGCAAUCAAUCUUAUAUUUCACUAUUUGAUGAUAUUUCUGUGUCUGUUUGUAGGUUUUGCAGAUCAGAUGUCAUAGUGUAGUUUCAUAGACAAAAAAGUACCAUGAUUGUUCCUGUUCAGUAGUUGUGAAUUGUUUAUAGAAUUAGAAGGUGUUGCACUCAGUAUUGUUGAACAUUUAUAUGUAUAUGUAGUAAAGUGAAUGCAACCCCCUUUUUGAAGGACUUCUGAUCCAACCAUGUAGUAUGGCAUGUUUGUGCGAUAUGGUUUUGGCCAGUAGGAUGUUCAUGAAUGACCUGUAGUACAAAGUAUAUCACUGGAUUGAGCUCAUUGUCUAAGUGUAUCAUUAAAGUGCUUUGCUUUGAGCUCGAUCAGUUCAUUGUUAUGCAAUUCAUUCUUUGUGAAAUAAAGAUUUGACAGACAACUCUCAUAUACAAGAAAUUGUCAAAGUAGUAUCCAUUCUAUGUACAAUGUA